GAUGAACGCUGGCGGCGUGCCUAAUACAUGCAAGUCGAGCGAACAGAUAAGGAGCUUGCUCCUUUGACGUUAGCGGCGGACGGGUGAGUAACACGUGGGUAACCUACCUAUAAGACUGGGAUAACUUCGGGAAACCGGAGCUAAUACCGGAUAACAUUUGGAACCGCAUGGUUCUAAAGUGAAAGAUGGUUUUGCUAUCACUUAUAGAUGGACCCGCGCCGUAUUAGCUAGUUGGUAAGGUAACGGCUUACCAAGGCGACGAUACGUAGCCGACCUGAGAGGGGGAUCGGCCACCCUGGAACUGAGACACGGUCCAGACUCCUACGGGAGGCAGCAGUAGGGAAUCUUCCGCAAUGGGCGAAAGCCUGACGGAGCAACGCCGCGUGAGUGAUGAAGGGUUUCGGCUCGUAAAACUCUGUUAUUAGGGAAGAACAAAUGUGUAAGUAACUGUGCACGUCUUGACGGUACCUAAUCAGAAAGCCACGGCUAACUACGUG
rnacentral:rRNA from 1 species